AUUGAACGCUGGCGGCAUGCCUUACACAUGCAAGUCGAACGGCAGCACGGGAGCUUGCUCCUGGUGGCGAGUGGCGAACGGGUGAGUAAUACAUCGGAACGUACCCUGAAGUGGGGGAUAACGUAGCGAAAGUUACGCUAAUACCGCAUAUUCUGUGAGCAGGAAAGAGGGGGAUCGCAAGACCUCUUGCUUUAGGAGCGGCCGAUGUCGGAUUAGCUAGUUGGUGAGGUAAAGGCUCACCAAGGCGACGAUCCGUAGCGGGUCUGAGAGGAUGAUCCGCCACACUGGGACUGAGACACGGCCCAGACUCCUACGGGAGGCAGCAGUGGGGGAAUUUUGGACAAUGGGCGCAAGCCUGAUCCAGCCAUGCCGCGUGAGUGAAGAAGGCCUGGUGUAAGACUCUUCGUGGGAGAAGUAGUCACAGGAGUAAUAACCUUA
rnacentral:rRNA from 1 species